AGAGUUUGAUCCUGGCUCAGGAUGAACGCUGCGGCGUGCUUAACACAUGCAAGUCGAACGAGCCUUCGUGCUAGUGGCGGACGGGUGAGUAACGCGUGAGAAUCUGCCCUCAGGAGGGGGAUAACGGCUGGAAACGGCCGCUAAUACCCCAUAUGCCGCGAGGUGAAAUGAGAAAUCGCCUGAGGAUGAGCUCGCGUCUGAUUAGCUAGUUGGUGGGGUAAGAGCCUACCAAGGCAUCGAUCAGUAGCUGGUCUGAGAGGAUGAUCAGCCACACUGGGACUGAGACACGGCCCAGACUCCUACGGGAGGCAGCAGUGGGGAAUUUUCCGCAAUGGGCGCAAGCCUGACGGAGCAACGCCGCGUGAGGGAUGAAGGCCUCUGGGCUGUAAACCUCUUUUCUCAAGGAAGAAGAACUGACGGUACUUGAGGAAUAAGCCACGGCUAAUUCCGUGCCAGCAGCCGCGGUAAUACGGGAGUGGCGAGCGUUAUCCGGAAUUAUUGGGCGUAAAGCGUCCGCAGGCGGUCUUGAAAGUCUGUUGUUAAAGCGUGGAGCUCAACUCCAUUUCAGCAAUGGAAACUAGAAGACUAGAGUGUGGUAGGGGCAGAGGGAAUUCCCGGUGUAGCGGUGAAAUGCGUAGAUAUCGGGAAGAACACCAGUGGCGAAGGCGCUCUGCUGGGCCAUAACUGACGCUCAUGGACGAAAGCCAGGGGAGCGAAAGGGAUUAGAUACCCCUGUAGUCCUGGCCGUAAACGAUGAACACUAGGUGUCGGGGAAAUCGACCCCCUCGGUGUCGUAGCCAACGCGUUAAGUGUUCCGCCUGGGGAGUACGCACGCAAGUGUGAAACUCAAAGGAAUUGACGGGGGCCCGCACAAGCGGUGGAGUAUGUGGUUUAAUUCGAUGCAACGCGAAGAACCUUACCAGGGUUUGACAUCCUGCGAAUCUUUUGGAAACAGUAGAGUGCCUUCGGGAGCGCAGAGACAGGUGGUGCAUGGCUGUCGUCAGCUCGUGUCGUGAGAUGUUGGGUUAAGUCCCGCAACGAGCGCAACCCACGUCUUUAGUUGCCAGCAUUAAGUUGGGCACUCUAGAGAGACCGCCGGUGAUAAACCGGAGGAAGGUGUGGAUGACGUCAAGUCAUCAUGCCCCUUACAUCCUGGGCUACACACGUACUACAAUGCUACGGACAGAGGGCAGCAAACUCGCGAGAGCUAGCAAAUCCCAUAAACCGUGGCUCAGUUCAGAUCGUAGGCUGCAACUCGCCUACGUGAAGGAGGAAUCGCUAGUAAUCGCAGGUCAGCAUACUGCGGUGAAUACGUUCCCGGGCCUUGUACACACCGCCCGUCACACCAUGGAAGUUGGCCAUGCCCGAAGUCGUUACUCCAACCCUUGUGGAGGAGGACGCCGAAGGUGCGGCUGGAUCACC
rnacentral:rRNA from 1 species